CCCCUUUGAUGGUAUUCCGUAUUGCCUUUUGGGGUCUGAAGUGUGGGACUGUCAUCACGGGCCAGACAGACACGUGAAUGAUAAAAAGAAACUUGUUGCCAAAAAGGAUGAGAUGGAAGAAGAACAUCCAUACACCAAAAAUUCAAAGAAAAGGUUUUUAGUUCAGAGUACCAAGAAGAUGGACUGCAAGUCACAGAUCACUCUUAAAGCUGUUGUUAAGUUUCCUGACUUUAAGGUUGAUGGCCUUGAUAGCACUUACAGGAGAAAAAAAUGUGCAUCCAACCUUAGAGCAGCCAAUUUCAAUCAUGUAAAGAAAGACGUGAAGAUUGUGUUAAUUCUUCC